rnacentral:rRNA from 1 species
GAUGAACGCUGGCGGCGUGCCUAAUACAUGCAAGUCGAGCGCACAGAUGAGGAGCUUGCUCUUCUGACGUUAGCGGCGGACGGGUGAGUAACACGUGGAUAACCUACCUUUUAGCCGGGGAUAACUACGGGAAACGGUAGCUAAUACCGGAUAACAUAUUGAACCGCAUGGCUUAUUAGUGAAAGACGGUAUUGCUGUACUAUAAAAUGGGACCGCGUUCUAUUUGCUAGUGGGUAAGGUAAGGGCUCACCUAGGCAACGAUUCGUAGCCGACCUGGAAGGGUGAUCGGCCACACGGGAACUGAGACACGGUCCAGAUUCCUACGGGAGGCAGCAGAAGGGAAUCUUCGGCAAUGGGGGAAAGCCUGACGGAGAAACGCGGCGGGAGUGAUGAAGUUCUUCGGAUCGUAAAACUCGUUGAUUGGGGAGGAACAAAUGUGUAAGUAACUAUGCACGUCUUGACGGUACCUAAUCAGAAAGCCACGGCUAACUACGUG